UUCGGUACAUCGGUGACAGUGGUGCAUGGUUGUCGUCAGCUCGUGUCGUGAGAUGUUGGGUUAAGUCCCGCAACGAGCGCAACCCCUAUUGUUAGUUGCCAUCAUUCAGUUGGGCACUCUAGCGAGACUGCCGGUAAUAAACCGGAGGAAGGUGGGGAUGACGUCAAAUCAUCAUGCCCCUUAUAACCUGGGCUACACACGUGCUACAAUGGUUGGUACAACGAGUUGCGAGUCGGUGACGGCGAGCUAAUCUCUUAAAGCCAAUCUCAGUUCGGAUUGUAGGCUGCAACUCGCCUACAUGAAGUCGGAAUCGCUAGUAAUCGCGGAUCAGCACGCCGCGGUGAAUACGUUCCCGGGCCUU
rnacentral:rRNA from 1 species